rnacentral:lncRNA from 1 species
AUGUUUCUCUUUGCUGUUGUUAUGACCUCUCUCCCUGUGUUCUGCAAAGCUCCACUCCAGUAUCAGCUGCUCCAUGGCUGGUGCUACUCACGUCUGCCUUGGGAACCUCACCUGUCCUGUACAGCUUCCAGCAUCAGCUGUGCUAUGAGAGGCAUCAGAUGCAUAAAGGAACUAGACAGAAGAAAUGCAAGACAAAUAUCUUAUGCACAGAUUGUAACCAGCUGUGUCUGUCCAGCAGAAGAGUCUUCCAGGACACAGUGCAAGAUGAACAAAAAUAUAAUACCUCUCUUCCCUGAGACCCUGAGGUCUCUUUCUGACAAGGAAUUGCCUAUUACACCUGCAAAACUGGCUUCUUCCCUUUGGCUAAGCACCUGGAUUCUUCUUAUCACCCUUUUUUAACUAAAGCUAAUGAAAUUUAGUAGAGCCUAGCUGUAGAUCUGAAUGUCCAGUCUUCCCACCUGUAGAUGCACUUUUUCUUCUCCUACAUGCUCAGAUAAUUUUUUUUCCUUAGACUGUGGAAAGUAAAGGACAGUAAGGAAUUGUGAUAUCACAAGGCAGGGACAGUUUCCUGCAGCAGGAAUCAAAAUUGAAGGCUGUAGAAUUUAGGUUAGAUGACAUUAUACAGGUGAGGAAAUUUCAUUCUUUUAACAAUGGGGAUAAAUUUAUUUAAAAUAAAUUUCUGGUAGUGUUUUAGUACUGUUAAUUU